CAAUAGCGUAUAUUAAAGUUGUUGCAGUUAGAACGCUCGUAGUCGGAUUUCGGGGCGGGCCGACCGGUCUGCCGAUGGGUACGCACUGGUCGGCGCGUCCUUCCUUCCGGAGACCGUGCCUACUCUUAACUGAGCGGGUGCGGGAGACGGAUCGUUUACUUUGAAAAAAUCAGAGUGUUUCAAGCAGGCAGCUCGCUCUUGCAUGGAUUAGCAUGGGAUAAUGAAAUAGGACUUUGGUGCUAUUUUGUUGGUUUCGAACACCGAAGUAAUGAUUAACAGGGACAGUCAGGGGCACUCGUAUUCCGCCGAGAGAGGUGAAAUUCUCAGACCAGCGGAAGACGAACUACUGCGAAAGCAUUUGCCAGGGAUGUUUUCACUGA
rnacentral:rRNA from 1 species